rnacentral:rRNA from 1 species
CAGCAGCCGCGGUAAUACAGAGUGUGCGAGCGUUAAUCGGAUUUACUGGGCGUAAAGCGUGCGUAGGCGGCUUCUUAAGUCGGAUGUGAAAUCCCUGAGCUUAACUUAGGAAUUGCAUUCGAUACUGGGAAGCUAGAGUAUGGGAGAGGAUGGUAGAAUUCCAGGUGUAGCGGUGAAAUGCGUAGAGAUCUGGAGGAAUACCGAUGGCGAAGGCAGCCAUCUGGCCUAAUACUGACGCUGAGGUACGAAAGCAUGGGGAGCAAACAGGAUUAGAGACCCCGGUAGUCCCUGUCUCUUAUAU